CUUUAUAAGAGGCCAGCACGACGCCGGUUUACAGUGAUGGAUAAUAGCAAGGCGUCCGAAGGUAUCUUCCAAUGGGCACCGUUAUGGUUGGCAAUUAUAUACGUAAGCAAACGGGUCUGCAACUACGGUACUGACACAGAACUGGCCGUUGCCGCUAAAAUAGGGGGAUUUACUUGUGCCGUCGUCGUAUACCCGUCUGUAGCCCCUGUAGAGUUGUAGUUUUGUGAAGUGACGCCUGUUGCGCUCGCAAGGUCGCUCAUUUAUAUUACACGUUGCUGUAUGUGUACAGGCAUGUACGUGCAGGCGCUUCUGCGUGAUUAAACAGCGGAGAUAUAUAAAGACGACAGCAGUUACUGGUACCCUGCUAUAGAUGGCAAUGAAGGACGAUGGUCAACCCUUCUUCCUACCAAACAACCCCCACGAUUGACGAACAGCUGUUCAGCACCGCCAUGGCACACGCGACGUCGCAACAUCGAAAACACUUUGAACGAUUUCGAUUUAUUUGUGCCAAAAAAAUCUUUCCGCGCCGCGAUACGACAUAUCUCGUGAUAAACUUUCGAUCGUAGAGUGAUAUUUCGCGAGAGUGUUUCGGGUUGUGCGAGUUGCAUGUUCGCGAGUGAUAUCCAAGUGACAUUUUAGAAAUAUUUGGUGGGAAUUUUUUUACAUAUCAGGCUGAAUUUUGCAAGUGUUUGACUGCGGAAACAAGGGUCCGCCGUUACAAUGGGAUGAAUAAGGUAAGCUGCAUUUUACAAAUAGAGCAGAUAAUUUUUUUUACGGUUUUCUUUUUUAAUUGUAAAGUUUUUUCUGUGUACACGGAUUAUCCGUCCAAGAUUUGUUUUCCUGCACCGAUUAGCGGAUGGUUUUUUUUUUUAGGUCCGCUUUAUAUAUCUUUUCUUUUAUUUUCUUUUCCUCUAUAAAGCUUGCAAUAACUUUUUAAUUCUUACCACUCCGCUGACAUCAGGCAGUUCCGUUUCCGUCGAGCAGUACCGUGCUGUUUACAGAACUCUCCGGCUAGCCAUAUCGCAACGUUCCACCUAUUCUCUGAAGUUAUGGAUGGUGAACGUCUGAAAUGCGUCGAGGGUGAGUGUGCGCUUCCGGUGUUACACUCGGGCAAAGGGUUGAGCGAGCAAGGAACAGUUAUUGCUCGGAAUUUACUGUCCACCCUUACACAUAGCACGAUUCCCUUUCUCGGAUACGAGAAGGAACUGCGAGAGAACCGUGACGCGAAGGAUACGUCUUCGAAACGAUCAAAAGUUUUUCUAGCAAAAUUCUCCACAUUCUUAUCAUUUGAAGCGUGAACAAAAUUCAAUAAUAUUGAAGAGUAAGAAAUAUAUAUCGUCCCUGGAAUAUCGACGAUCCCGAGAUUAACGACGAUCAACGAAAAAAGCAAAAAUCUGUUUGUGCAAUAUUUUACAUUAUAAAGUCGAAAUUUCAAUGAUCGCAAUUAGCUCUGGAUUCUG